rnacentral:rRNA from 1 species
UGCAGUCGAACGCGAAAGUCCCCUUCGGGGGGCAAGUAGAGUGGCGCACGGGUGAGUAACACGUAGGUAAUCUACCUUCGGAUGGGGAAUAACAACCGGAAACGGUUGCUAAUACCGCAUAAUGCAGCGGCACCUAAUGGUGACAGUUGUUAAAGCGGGGGAUCGCAAGACCUCGCGUCUGAAGAGGAGCCUGCGGCGGAUUAGCUAGUUGGUAAGGUAAUGGCUUACCAAGGCGAUGAUCCGUAGCCGGCCUGAGAGGGCGGUCGGCCACACUGACACUGACAUACGGGUCAGACUCCUACGGGAGGCAGCAGUCGGGAAUUUUGGGCAAUGGGCGAAAGCCUGACCCAGCAACGCCGCGUGAAGGAUGAAAUCCCUCGGGAUGUAAACUUCGCAAGAACGGGAAGAAUAAGUAAGAGCUAACAUCUCUUAUGAUGACGGUACUGUUUGUAAGCUCCGGCUAACUCCGUGCCAGCAGCCGCGGUAAUACGGGGGGAGCAAGCGUUGUUCGGAUUUACUGGGCGUAAAGGGCGCGUAGGCGGCCACCGCAAGUCACUUGUGAAAUCUCCGGGCUUAACCCGGAAAGGUCAACUGAUACUGCGGGGCUAGAGUGCAGAAGGGGCAACUGGAAUUCUCGGUGUAGCGGUGAAAUGCGUAGAUAUCGAGAGGAACACCUGCGGCGAA